rnacentral:rRNA from 1 species
AUAGUGGCGCACGGGUGCGUAACGCGUAACCAACCUACCUGAAUCUGGGGGAUAGCCCGCCGAAAGGCGGAUUAAUACCGCAUAAAMCCACAGARYGGCAUCRUUUAAUGGKUAAAGAUUUAUUGGAUUCAGAUGGGGUUGCGUGCCAUUAGCUAGUUGGRGAGGUAACGGCUCACCAAGGCGACGAUGGCUAGGGGAGCUGAGAGGCUGGUCCCCCACACGGGCACUGAGAUACGGGCCCGACUCCUACGGGAGGCAGCAGUAGGGAAUAUUGGGCAAUGGGCGAGAGYCUGACCCAGCCAUGCCGCGUGCAGGAUGAAGGCUUUYUGAGUCGUAAACUGCUUUUGCCAGGGAAGAAAA